rnacentral:rRNA from 1 species
AUUGAACGCUGGCGGAAUGCUUUACACAUGCAAGUCGAACGGCAGCACGGACUUCGGUCUGGUGGCGAGUGGCGAACGGGUGAGUAAUGUAUCGGAACGUGCCCAGUCGUGGGGGAUAACGUAGUGAUAAUUACGCUAAUACCGCAUACGAUCUAUGGAUGAAAGCGGGGGAUCGCAAGACCUCGCGCGAUUGGAGCGGCCGAUAUCAGAUUAGGUAGUUGGUGGGGUAAAGGCCCACCAAGCCAACGAUCUGUAGCUGGUCUGUGAGGACGACCAGCCACACUGGAACUGAGACACGGUCCAGACUCCUACGGGAGGCAGCAGUGGGGAAUUUUGGACAAUGGGCGAAAGCCUGAUCCAGCCAUUCCGCGUGCAGGAUGAAGGCCCUCGGGUUGUAAACUGCUUUUGUACAGAACGAAAAGGUUUCUACUAAUACUAGGAGCUCAUGACGGUACUGUAAGAAUAAGCACCGGCUAACUACGUGCCAGCCGCCGCGGUAA